rnacentral:rRNA from 1 species
AAAUGAAUAGACGGGGGCCCGCACAAGCGGUGGAGUAUGUGGUUUAAUUCGAUGCAACGCGAAGAACCUUACCAGGGCUUGACAUCCCGGGAACCCGGUGGAAACACCGGGGUGCCCGCAAGGGAGCCCGGAGACAGGUGGUGCAUGGCUGUCGUCAGCUCGUGUCGUGAGAUGUUGGAUUAAGUUCCGCAACGAGCGCAACCCUCGUCGUAUGUUGCCAGCGGUUCGGCCGGGCACUCAUACGAGACUGCCGCAGCAAUGUGGAGGAAGGUGGGGAUGACGUCAAGUCAGCAUGCCCCGUACGCCCUGGGCUACACACAUACUACAAUGCGAGGAGCAGACGGAUGCUAACCCGCGAGGGGGCGCUAAUCCGCGAAGGCCUCGCUCAGUGCAGAUUGCAGGCUGCAACUCGCCUGCAUGAAGGCGGAAUCGCUAGUAACCGUCGGUCAGCAUUACGACGGUGAAUACGUUCCCGGGCCUUGUACACACCGCCCGU